rnacentral:rRNA from 1 species
GAAGCUGGAUUCGCUAGUAAUCGCGCAUCAGCCACGGCGCGGUGAAUACGUUCCCGGGCCUUGUACACACCGCCCGUCAAGCCAUGGGAGCCGGGGGUACCUGAAGUGCGUAACCGCGAGGAGCGCCCUAGGGUAAACUGGUGACUGGGGCUAAGUCGUAACAAGGUAGC